UACGAAGGGGGCUAGCGUUGCUCGGAAUCACUGGGCGUAAAGGGUGCGUAGGCGGUUCUUUAAGUCAGGGGUGAAAUCCUGGAGCUCAACUCCAGAACUGCCUUUGAUACUGAGGAUCUUGAGUUCGGGAGAGGUGAGUGGAACUGCGAGUGUAGAGGUGAAAUUCGUAGAUAUUCGGAGGAACACCAGUGGCGAAGGCGGCUCACUGGCUCGGUACUGACGCUGAGGUGCGAAAGCGUGGGGAGCAAACAGG
rnacentral:rRNA from 1 species